rnacentral:rRNA from 1 species
UACGGAGGGGGCUAGCGUUGUUCGGAAUUACUGGGCGUAAAGCGCACGUAGGCGGCUAUUUAAGUCAGGGGUGAAAUCCCGGGGCUCAACCCCGGAACUGCCUUUGAUACUGGGUAUCUGGAGGUCGAGAGAGGCGAGUGGAAUUCCGAGUGUAGAGGUGAAAUUCGUAGAUAUUCGGAGGAACACCAGUGGCGAAGGCGGCUCGCUGGCUCGAUACUGACGCUGAGGUGCGAAAGCGUGGGGAGCAAACAGG